rnacentral:rRNA from 1 species
UACGUAGGGGGCAAGCGUUAUCCGGAUUUACUGGGUGUAAAGGGAGCGUAGACGGCAGGGCAAGUCUGAUGUGAAAGGUCGGGGCCCAACCCCGGGACUGCAUUGGAAACUGUCCGGCUGGAGUACAGGAGAGGUAAGUGGAAUUCCUAGUGUAGCGGUGAAAUGCGUAGAUAUUAGGAGGAACACCAGCGGCGAAGGCGGCUUACUGGACUGUAACUGACGUUGAGGCUCGAAAGCGUGGGGAGCAAACAGG